UAUUAAAUAUCCAAGGUUGUUUAAAACUUUCAAACAAUCUGGUCUUUGGACGGAUUCAAAGCAAAAUUAUAUAUCUACUAAUAAUAGCAAUUCCAAUUAAUUUCAAAAGUUGUGUCAUUUCAUAAAAAACUGAAAUCUUAAGAGUUGUAUUUUUUUAUUAUAAAAGUUGUGUCUUUUCAUAAAAAAUAAAAUUUAUUAAUUUUAAGAGUUGUAUCUUUUCACUAUAAAAAUUGUAUAUUUCCAAUUAAUUUCAAAAAUUUUGUCAUUUCAUAAAAAAAAUUGAAAUCUUAAGAAUUGUAUCUUUUCAUUAUAAAAGUUGUGUCUUUUCUAAUGGUUAAGUUUAUUAAUACUUUGUAAUCUAACGGACAUGAUCAUCUCUCAUUUAUAAGAUCCGACGUCAUCAAUCUCGUUCACCAAAAGGCGUCUCAGUCAACUGCUAUCUGAACGAUGCACCCCUUAUACAUCCGCCUCUUCUCAAAGGACACCUCAUUUGCCUCCUUUUGGAUACAACACGUCUCUAAAAUCCAUCUAUACAUUGAACUUUCAGAGUUCUUAUCCCUUUAAAUAUUCCAUCAUCAAUCUAUCUCUUUAUAUUUUCCAUCAUCCUCGUCCAGAUUAAGAUGUAAGAAUUCCUCUCAGACAAUUCAUCACCAUCGUCGUACAUGGACAGACUUUUCAAAAGAAAUUAAUUGUUUGGUACUGCGUGGGAGGAGAUGGAGUGAAUCACGUAGUCUUUUGGCCAAAGAACAAUCUAUCUUCCCAAGUUUUUUUACUGCAGUUAGUUGAAAUGUAGUUUUACUCAAUUUUCGUUGAGCGUUUCUGUAUUUCUGUUAAUUGCCGUUUGACGUUUUCUAGCAGAAUUGAUCUGGGAGUCGCUUAUGUAUCAUUUUUAAGUUUUUUCAAAAAAAAUUGAUCCAGAUUAUUGAGUUAUGAUUAAAGGAGUUUGAAGAGGAAAAUAAACAAUUACUAACGAGUAUGGUCAAGCACAGCCUUAAUAACAUCCAUAAGUGCAUCACUCACGCGUGUGCCUUGAAGUGGGAAAGUUUGGAGUUGGAAAAGAAGUAGACUACAACGUUACGUCUCUAUGGGAACCCGAUCUUUAUGAUAUUACAAAUCAUUAAUUUAUUAAUACAAGUAUAAUCUCUUCGUAACAGAAGCUACGUAUUAAUGUAAAUUAUAUGCUUUAGAGUUUUGAGUGAUUUAAAGAAUGUAUAUAGUUGUGUUGUUCUUUGUCCGUCAAAAAGAAAGACUGUAAAAACAGAUGAAGAAAGAAACCAACAAUGAGUUCAUCAAAAGUUGUGAUCAUAUUUUUAGUUUCAUCAAAUUCUUGUAACAUGUGAAAGAAAAGCUUUCACAGA